GGCCACUUCCUAACCUCUACUCAGUUACUCCACCUCUGGCCAAAAAUGCCAAGUUGUUACUUACUAAAUUCUAAAUUCUAUAUUCUUACUAAAUUCUAAAUACUAUAUUCUAUAUUCUAUAUUGGGCAGCCCUCUGGCCACACUCUCCCAGCUCCUUCACAUGGCUUUACGACUCCUGUCCUCCACUCCUUGUAGGCAUGGCAUCGCCUCUCCUCCACACUCUCCCAGGAUCUCUUCCUUUUCUUCUCUUCUCUUGUUUUACUGAUCUUGGCCAUUCUGAACAGGAUCUGACUACUUCAGACACAUGAUGUAUGACAACAUACAAAGGAGGAAGUGCCUUUUGGUAACUGAUUUAUUUCAAUGAGCUGUCUCCCAUGAUGAUGAUGACCAAGAUGUGCAGAGGUCUAUUGUUGGUAAGCUACAGACCUAGAAGAGCUGACAAUUACAUACUUCCAGCCCCAAAGCCAGAAGCCAUGGGACCCAAGAAGAGUAGAUGCUUCAUUUCAAGUCUCAAGGCAGGAAGAGUGAGGCAGAAGGCAUACCCUUAGUUAACCUUUUCAUUCUAUUAUUUCUAUUAUAUAUUAUAUUUCUAUUCAUUCUAUUAUAUUCUAUUAAUAUAAUA